rnacentral:RNase_P_RNA from 1 species
CCAGAGGGUCGGACGGCCGCCGGUCUCCGUUGAGGAGGCGGGAGGAAAGUCCGGGCUCCAUGGACGAACGGCGCCGGGUAAUGCCCGGCCGGAGCGAUCCGAGGGACAGCGCCACAGAGACCGAACCGCUCGCCGCUUUCGGGCGGCAGUAAGGGUGAAAAGGUGCGGUAAGAGCGCACCGGGCGCCGGGCAACCGGGGCCGCAUGGCAAGCCCCGCCGGGAGCAAGACCGAAUAGGGACCGUCGCCCUUCGUCCGGGCGCAUGGCGGUUCGGGUUGGUUGCUGGAGGCGGCGCGCAAGCUCCGCCCUAGAGGAAUGGCCGUCCCCGGGGUCCGCCCCGGGACAGAACCCGGCUUACAGACCCUCUGGCCGU